UACGAAGGGGGCUAGCGUUGCUCGGAAUGACUGGGCGUAAAGGGCGCGUAGGCGGUUUGGACAGUCAGAUGUGAAAUUCCUGGGCUCAACCUGGGGGCUGCAUUUGAUACGUUCGGACUAGAGUGGGGAAGAGGGUCGUGGAAUUCCCAGUGUAGAGGUGAAAUUCGUAGAUAUUGGGAAGAACACCGGUGGCGAAGGCGGCGACCUGGUCCUUGACUGACGCUGAGGCGCGAAAGCGUGGGGAUCAAACAGG
rnacentral:rRNA from 1 species